rnacentral:rRNA from 1 species
UACGUAGGGUGCAAGCGUUGUCCGGAAUUAUUGGGCGUAAAGAGCUCGUAGGCGGUUCGUCGCGUCGGCUGUGAAAUCCCCGAGGCUCAACCUCGGGUCUGCAGUCGAUACGGGCGGACUGGAGUUCGGCAGGGGAGACUGGAAUUCCUGGUGUAGCGUGAAAUGCGCAGAUAUCAGGAGGAACACCGGUGCGAAGGCGGGUCUCUGGGCCGAUACUGACGUGAGGAGCGAAAGCGUGGGGAGCAACGG